UGAAAGCUGCCUGACUUCGGACAGGUAGAUACCUAUCUAUUAUUCCCAAAUUUUGCACUUAAAUGUCAUUUAGUUCUUAAUUCACCAUUUAGAAAUGCUCAAAUAUUAGUCUUAGUUUAAGUUGACCUGUCUUUUUAUGUAUAUAAUUCAGUCCCAAUUAGAACUCGAGUCUUCUUCUUCCUGAACUCAUUAUUUCUAUUAAAUUCCAAUUCCAAUCUCUAAAGCUCAAAAUCUAUUUGUGCUAUUUUUGCAGUGUGCUUUGCAAGAUUAAUUUCUUUAUUAUGAUUGCCAUAUCUAUAUUCGACAACUCUUCAUUUGGGUAAAAUAUUCAUGAUUAAAUUUGCGAACUUGUUUUACAUCGUAGAAGGCUUGUCCUUGUUAAUCUUUAUUGAGGAGUUGGAAGUACAUCUCCAGUGUGUUUGAUGUUGGCAUGUAGAAUUUGUAGUUGAUUGAAAUGAAAAAUUUCUAGUGAUCAUUAUCUGUAAUUCAAGUCUUCAGUUCAAAUACUGUGUUCUAUUGUAUGGGAUAGUGUUAGUUGUCCUAAUCCUCUUUAGAUCAUCUUAAAGUUUUGUUUCUCCCUAAUCUUGAUGUACAUAGUUUUUAAAGUUUAGUUGUCCUAAUCCUGUUUCUGGCCUUUUGUUGGAUAAGCUAUUGUUGUGACGAGUAAUGAUCAAUGGUCAUUCUCUCCUAUCUCUAACAUAUUGAAGUCUGUUGGGAUUGUAAAUCCUACGUUAGAAAAGUAUAAAAAUGAAAGGGUUUAAUAUAAGUGGUUAGAUUACAACA
rnacentral:misc_RNA from 1 species